rnacentral:lncRNA from 1 species
CCUCCCUUCUUAGGCUCAAGAGUGAAGAAUUGGUCUUUGUCACCCGUCAUGUGUCUUGAGCAGCCACUAUCCAAGUACCAAUAAUUUUUGUUGACCUUGGCUGCAAGACACUCCUACACAAGCAAAUCAUACAAUUUUAGGUACCCAAGUUAUCUUGGGUCCUUCAUGGUUAGUAAUAUUGGUUCCUUUUGGAACCCAAACUCUUUUAAUUUUUCUUUUAGUUUUUCCUUUUCUAUAAUCACACACAU